rnacentral:sRNA from 1 species
CCCAGGGUUGACACCCUGGGCUAUUGGCUGCCGCCCCUUCGGAGCU